AGGAACGCCGCUGACCUUGGCAGGACUGCAUACUUCUUUGGAGAUAAGCCAAACCUUUUGGAUUUGGACCAGAAUGGCCACUUUUGUGGAGGCAGAUAUAUCUGUGGAGAGAAGGAAAGUAGCGCGUAUCCUGGUCACGCUGUUUUCCCAGGGAAAACAAUAAUGCAAGAUAUCCACAGCUUUGUGUUAUUGCCUUAAUUUUGGAGAUGAGAAAGGAGAACAGAGAAGGAAUGUCACUUGUCCCUGAUGAUACAGCCAUUGUCAGACCCAUGAGGGGGGCUCUGAAAUGCCUUGCUCUUAGUCUUGUUCUCAUUCCUCUGGGUUACAAAGACGUGACAGAUACAGUACAUGUUCUGUUCUUACACUCUGCAUAGCAAAAUCAGACAAAUAGGAAGACUCUUUGAACAUGAAAACUGAAGACUGAAUAAUCCAGACAUGUACUUUCUGCUGUUUUCUUUAUUUUUUAAUGAAAAAAGUGUUUAUUUAAACUCUGAGAUAAAUCCUGUCUAUCUGCCACUAGGUUAAAUCCGAUUUGAUUUCCUCAAUUCUUCUCUGUAUAGGCUUUUUUUCUCAGCUUGUAUUACACUGGAUAACAGUAGAAUUACCAUCACAUAAUGUUAGUCUAAAAAUACAUGUACCAUUAUUAUUAUCAAAUAGAGAUAAGUGUGCGUUGCCAAGUAAAA